UGGCCUUGGUACUGCUGGGGGAGGGAAAAAGUCCUGGCUGUCCAGCAGGCCUCCUGUGACACUAGCCCUAGAGAAAAGAGAAGAGCCUCACUGCAGCCUGCAGAGAUAUGACAGUGAGCCUGGAAAACUGGCCUGAAUCAAAUGAGAAUUUAAACCUGCUGGAAUGCUUAAGCAAAGGAGAUCUUCCUUCAGAGACUCCACAUGGGCCUCCAGGUUGGAUUUGCACAAGGUCAGCUCACCCAGGAUCCCACGCAGGCCGCUGAUGUCAGCCUCCAACAGCUGGCGAAGGGACAGUUCACUGUCGUACCUUUCACAGCACAAGAGAAAUCCAGAGCUUACUCUGUUGAAUGCUGUGCAAAGUGAGGGGAUACAUGGAGAAUCGACAUAUGGACUUCAGGAAGCCACAUGCAGAAUUUCUCUUAAUUCCUGAGAAAUGAUAAAUUCAAGCUUUUAAGA